rnacentral:rRNA from 1 species
CGGGGGGGCGAGCGUUGUUCGGAAUUACUGGGCGUAAAGGGCGCGUAGGCGGUCUGCUAAGUUGGAUGUGAAAACUCUGGGCUUAACCCAGAGCCUGCAUUCAAAACUGACAGGCUGGAGUUCUGGAGGGGAUAGCGGAAUUCCUGGUGUAGCGGUGAAAUGCGUAGAUAUCAGGAGGAACACCGGUGGCGAAGGCGGCUAUCUGGACAGAAACUGACGCUGAGCGCGAAAGCUAGGGGAGCAAAACAGGAUUAGAUACCCUGGUAGUCCUAGCCCUAAACGAUGGAUACUUGGUGUGACUGGGAUUGAAUCCAGUCGUGCCGAAGCUAACGCAUUAAGUAUCCCGCCUGGGGAGUACGGUCGCAAGGCUGA